CCGUCACUAGCUCAGCUGGACAGAGCAAAUAACUCAGAAGUUGUAGGUGCGAGGUUCGAGGCCUCGGUGACGGUCCA
rnacentral:tRNA from 1 species